GUCCCUGUGACGCAAUUGGUUAGCGCGUUCGACUGUUGAUCGAGAGGUUGGAAGUUCGAGCCUUCCCAAGGACG
rfam:Paracoccidioides brasiliensis Pb18 unplaced genomic scaffold supercont2.4, whole genome shotgun sequence.